GCAGCUUUAGCUCACUUGGGAGAGCGCCAGACUGAAGUUCACUUCGGUUGCGAAAGAAGCAUUCUGUGCGGUAUCUGGAGGUACUGUGUUCGAUCCACAGAAGCUGCA